CCCCUAGAUGUUCUGGGCCGCACGCGCGCUACACUGAACAGUUCAACAAGUCUUAACCUUGGCCGAUAGGUCUGGGUAAUCUUUGAACGCUGUUCGUGAUUGGGAUAGACCUUUGCAAUUAUGGGUCUUCAACGAGGAAUUCCUAGUAAGCGCAAGUCAUCAGCUUGCGUUGAUUACGUCCCUGCCCUUUGUACACACCGCCCGUCGCUCCUACCGAUUGAAUGGUCCGGUGAAGCGCUCGGACCGCGGCCUCUUGACGGUUUUCCGUCGAUUGGCUGUGGGAAGUUCGUUAAACCUUAUCAUUUAGAGGAAGGAGAAGUCGUANCA
rnacentral:rRNA from 1 species